AGUAAAUAGAUACUCUGGUAGUCCACGCCGUAAACGAUGUCGACUUGGAGGUUGUGCCCUUGAGGCGUGGCUUCCGGAGCUAAACGCGUUAAGUCGACCGCCUGGGGAGUACGGCCGCAAGGUUAAAACUCAAAUGAAUUGACGGGGGCCCGCACAAGCGGUGGAGCAUGUGGUUUAAUUCGAUGCAACGCGAAGAACCUUACCUACUCUUGACAUCCAGAGAACUUAGCAGAGAUGCUUUGGUGCCUUCGGGAACUCUGAGACAGGUGCUGCAUGGCUGUCGUCAGCUCGUGUUGUGAAAUGUUGGGUUAAGUCCCGCAACGAGCGCAACCCUUAUCCUUUGUUGCCAGCGGUUAGGCCGGGAACUCAAAGGAGACUGCCAGUGAUAAACUGGAGGAAGGUGGGGAUGACGUCAAGUCAUCAUGGCCCUUACGAGUAGGGCUACACACGUGCUACAAUGGCGCAUACAAAGAGAAGCGACCUCGCGAGAGCAAGCGGACCUCAUAAAGUGCGUCGUAGUCCGGAUUGGA
rnacentral:rRNA from 1 species